rnacentral:rRNA from 1 species
GAUGAACGCUGGCGGCGUGCCUAACACAUGCAAGUCGAGCGAUUCUCUUCGGAGAAGAGCGGCGGACGGGUGAGUAACGCGUGGGUAACCUGCCCUGUACACACGGAUAACAUACCGAAAGGUAUGCUAAUACGGGAUAACAUAAAGAAGUCACAUGGCUUUUUUAUCAAAGCUCCGGCGGUACAGGAUGGACCCGCGUCUGAUUAGCUAGUUGGUAAGGUAAUGGCUUACCAAGGCGACGAUCAGUAGCCGACCUGAGAGGGUGAUCGGCCACAUUGGAACUGAGACACGGUCCAAACUCCUACGGGAGCAGCAGUGGGAAUAUUGCACAAUGGGCAAAGCCUGAUGCAGCAACGCCGCGUGAGCGAUGAAGGCUUUCGGGUCGUAAAGCUCUGUCCUCAAGGAGAUAAUGACGGUACUUGAGGAGGAAGCCCCGGCUAACUACGUGCCAGCAGCCGCGGUAA